rnacentral:lncRNA from 1 species
UGCCCCACAGACACACAUGUCCACUUCCCAGUGACCUCCAGCACCCUCCCCUGGGGUUUCCAUGUCACAGCUGUCCCUUGGGCCCUUGCUGCACCCCACAGCCCACAUCUGUCCUUCACCUGCCCCCAUUAAGUCAGCCUACAUCUCCCGUGACGUGCAGAGCACUGGGUCGGGGGCUCUGGACACAGUCCUUGCUCAAGGGGUUCACAACCUCGUGGGAGGGAAAGAACAGUCCCCCCUUCACGAGAGUCAGGUGGAGCGUGGGGGCCUGGCUGGGGUCAUCAUAACCCUGACAGGCGUUUCUGCAGGGUCUGUCCUCAUGGGCUGCUGGGGAUGGGGCUGAAAUCCACGGUUCUGAUGCUGCCACGUAUGCAGGCAUGGGGAGCACUGCCUUCUACUCUCAAGAGCAUUUCACAUUGGAGGAUGCAUUUUGUGGUCACUCUGUGGCUUUAUGUCCCACGGAAGCAGGUCAUUUUCUCAGGGGCCAAUGUGCUUGAAAUCCCCUUGCCACACGGCUCAGACACCAGAGGCGUUUGUUCUGAAUCUCGAGGUCCCCGGUGUCUUUCCCACCACACUUCUGGUGUGUGCCGUCUCCCUGAUCCAGCUUCCAGCUACGGCAGGAGUCUGAGGAACAUGCAGGCGAGGAGGCCACGAGGGAGACGCAGGAAGACCAGGGACAGACGGAGGUAGACUAGGGAGGAAGGGAAUGGCCACCUCGCAGCUGGUGUUGUGCAGGCUGGCUUUUGAGGACUGGACCUGGAGCAUCUCCUACUCCUCUCCCAUCCUGGCCUUCUCCUCUAUCCUCCUAUGCACCCAAUGCUUUCCACGCUCACUUUUUCUCCAGCCACUUCUCCCCAUCAGCAUUUCCUCUCUCUACUUCCUCUGUUACUCUUCAGCCUUAUCUAAUUCCCCAAGACCCAGCUCAAGCCCACCUCCAGCCAGAAUUCCUCCAGAACUCAAUCCACCACGACCUCCACCUGCUGCGGCUUCCUGUCCAUUCCUCUGGCAGCGUAUGUCCAUGGCCUGCUGACAGCUCCUGUAUUGCCUUUUAUCGUAUUAUUCAGGGAGAACUUUUGAUCACGUGCAAACUAGGAAACACUUUUAUUUUUGUACAGCCACUGCUUUUAAAUAAGACAUCACAAUUCAUUCUCCACAUCUUCAUGACAUCUCAUGCAGAUCAAGAGUUUUAUGGUGACUUUGGGUGGAAAGACAAAGGCUCAUUUAUAUAUUCUAAAAUCCAGUCCAUUGAAAAUCAAAAUUUGAAUCUCACAUUCAAUUCGGUGUUGGUCCCCUUGACACAGCCUAAAUCAAGACUAACCUGGAGCUUGGAGACCCAGAGUAGAGAAGGGAGAAGAGUCUGCUAACAGCAAUCAUAGUAUGUAUCCUUUCAGAUUUUAAGGGAGGUGGGGAUACUCUUUGAAAUGUCAGUUUUUCUCAAAUAAAUUACUAAGAUGUCUGAACCAAUUUCUUUUAUUUGGAGAACUACUUUGCAUAAAUAGAGGCACUCUCUUUUAUAUGACCAGCUUAAUUUAAAAAUGUUUAAUCUGGCGUGGUGGUGUAUGUCUAUGGUCCCAGCUACUCCAGAGGCUGAGGUGGGAGGAUCACUUAAGCCCAGGAGGUCAAGGCUGCAGUGAACUGAGAUCACACCCCUGCACUCCAGCCUGGGCAACAGAGCCAGACCCCGUCUCAAAAAAAAAAAAAAAAAAAAAAA